CCCUUAGAUGUUCUGGGCCGCACGCGCGCUACACUGACGAAUGCAACGAGCUUAUAACCUCGGCCGAAAGGUCUGGGUAAUCUCCAAAUUUCGUCGUGAUGGGGAUAGAUUAUUGCAAUUAUUAAUCUUCAACGAGGAAUGCCUAGUAAGCGCAAGUCAUCAGCUUGCGUUGAUUACGUCCCUGCCCUUUGUACACACCGCCCGUCGCUCCUACCGAUUGAAUGGUCCGGUGAAGCGUUCGGACCGUGGCCUUUGGACGGUUCGCCGUCUGUUGGCUGCGGGAAGUUCGUUAAACCUUAUCAUUUAGAGGAAGGAGAAGUCGUAACA
rnacentral:rRNA from 1 species